UGGGGAAUUUUGCGCAAUGGACGAGAGUCUGACGCAGCAACGCCGCGUGGGUGAUGAAGGUCUUCGGACUGUAAAACCCUGUCGUCAGGGACGAAGGUGCCCCNGCUAAUAGCCUGGGUGCUUGACGGUACCUGGAGAGGAAGCCCCGGCUAACUCUGUG
rnacentral:rRNA from 1 species